rnacentral:rRNA from 1 species
UACGAGGGGGGCAAGCGUUGUUCGGAAUUAUUGGGCGUAAAGGGUGCGUAGGCGGGUUUUUAAGUCAGGGGUGAAAUCCUGGAGCUCAACUCCAGAACUGCCUUUGAUACUGAAGAUCUUUGAGUCCGGGAGAGGUGAGUGGAACUGCGAGUGUAGAGGUGAAAUUCGUAGAUAUUCGCAAGAACACCAGUGGCGAAGGCGGCUCACUGGCCCGGUACUGACGCUGAGGCACGAAAGCGUGGGGAGCAAACAGGG